ACAGCCAUAUCAGGUUGAGACACCAGUUCUCAUUCAAUCACUGAAGUUAAGCAACAUUGAGUAUGAUCAGUACCAAGAUGGAUGACCGCUUGGAAAUACAAGAUGCUGUAA